GUAGGGAAUAUUGGGCAAUGGUCAAGAGACUGACCCAGCCAUGCCGCGUGCAGGACGAAGGCUUUCUGAGUCGUAAACUGCUUUUAUCAGGGAAGAAUAAGGACCAUGCGUGGUUUGAUGACGGUACCUGAGGAAUAAGCACCGGCUAACUCCGUGCCAGCAGCCGCGGUAAUACGGAGGGUGCGAGCGUUGUCCGGAUUUAUUGGGUUUAAAGGGUGCGUAGGCGGCUUCGUAAGUCUGGGGUGAAAGCCCGCUGCUCAACAGCGGAACUGCCCUGGAUACUGCGGAGCUUGAGGACAGACGAGGUUGGCGGAAUGGAGGGUGUAGCGGUGAAAUGCAUAGAUACCCUCCAGAACCCCGAUUGCGAAGGCAGCUGACUAGACUGUAUCUGACGCUGAGGCACGAAAGCGUGGGGAGUGAACAGGAUUAGAUACCCUGGUAGUCCACGCCGUAAACGAUGGAUACUCGCUGCGGGCGAUACACGGUCCGUGGCUGCGCGAAAGCAUUAAGUAUCCCACCUGGGGAGUACGCUCGCAAGAG
rnacentral:rRNA from 1 species